UGAUAAUAGGUCGAUGAUUUCCGA
rnacentral:siRNA from 1 species